rnacentral:rRNA from 1 species
UACGUAGGGUGCGAGCGUUAAUCGGAAUUACUGGGCGUAAAGCGUGCGCAGGCGGUUUUGUAAGCCCGAUGUGAAAGCCCCGGGCUUAACCUGGGAAUGGCAUUUGGGACUGCAAGGCUUGAGUGCGGCAGAGGAGACUGGAAUUCCUGGUGUAGCAGUGAAAUGCGUAGAUAUCAGGAGGAAUACCGAUGGCGAAGGCAGGUCUCUGGGCCACUACUGACGCUGAGAAGCGAAAGCAUGGGGAGCGAACAGG